ACCUCUGUAGCUCUGUGGCAGAGCGUUGGUCUUGCAAACCAGAGAUCGUAAUUUCAAUCCCCACAGGAGGCA